AUACGAAGGUCCCACGCGUUAUUCGGAAUCACUGGGCGUAAAGAGUACGUAGGCGGUUUGGUAAGUCAGGUGUGAAAUCCCGGAGCUCAACUCCGGAACUGCAUCCGAUACUGCCAGACUUGAGUAAUGGAGAGGCAGGUGGAAUUCUCGGUGUAGCAGUGAAAUGCGUGGAUAUCGAGAGGAAGACCAAUGGCGAAGGCAGCCUGCUGGACAUUUACUGACGCUGAGGUACGAAGGCUAGGGGAGCGAAAGGGAUUAGAAACCCCAGUAGUCC
rnacentral:rRNA from 1 species